GACGAACGCUGGCGGCGUGCUUAACACAUGCAAGUCGAACGGAAAGGCCCUGCUUUUGUGGGGUGCUCGAGUGGCGAACGGGUGAGUAACACGUGAGUAACCUGCCCUUGACUUUGGGAUAACUUCAGGAAACUGGGGCUAAUACCGGAUAGGAGCUCCUGCUGCAUGGUGGGGGUUGGAAAGUUUCGGCGGUUGGGGAUGGACUCGCGGCUUAUCAGCUUGUUGGUGGGGUAGUGGCUUACCAAGGCUUUGACGGGUAGCCGGCCUGAGAGGGUGACCGGCCACAUUGGGACUGAGAUACGGCCCAGACUCCUACGGGAGGCAGCAGUGGGGAAUAUUGCACAACGGGCGGAAGCCUGAUGCAGCAACGCCGCGUGCGGGAUGACGGCCUUCGGGUUGUAAACCGCUUUCGCCUGUGACGAAGCGUGAGUGACGGUAAUGGGUAAAGAAGCACCGGCUAACUACGUGCCAGCAGCCGCGGUGAUACGUAGGGUGCGAGCGUUGUCCGGAUUUAUUGGGCGUAAAGGGCUCGUAGGUGGUUGAUCGCGUCGGAAGUGUAAUCUUGGGGCUUAACCCUGAGCGUGCUUUCGAUACGGGUUGACUUGAGGAAGGUAGGGGAGAAUGGAAUUCCUGGUGGAGCGGUGGAAUGCGCAGAUAUCAGGAGGAACACCAGUGGCGAAGGCGGUUCUCUGGGCCUUUCCUGACGCUGAGGAGCGAAAGCGUGGGGAGCGAACAGGCUUAGAUACCCUGGUAGUCCACGCUGUAAACGGUGGGUACUAGGUGUGGGGUCCAUUCCACGGGUUCCGUGCCGUAGCUAACGCUUUAAGUACCCCGCCUGGGGAGUACGGCCGCAAGGCUAAAACUCAAAGGAAUUGACGGGGCCCCGCACAAGCGGCGGAGCAUGCGGAUUAAUUCGAUGCAACGCGUAGAACCUUACCUGGGUUUGACAUGGAUCGGGAGUGCUCAGAGAUGGGUGUGCCUCUUUUGGGGUCGGUUCACAGGUGGUGCAUGGCUGUCGUCAGCUCGUGUCGUGAGAUGUUGGGUUAAGUCCCGCAACGAGCGCAACCCUUGUUCACUGUUGCCAGCACGUUAUGGUGGGGACUCAGUGGAGACCGCCGGGGUCAACUCGGAGGAAGGUGGGGAUGACGUCAAGUCAUCAUGCCCCUUAUGUCCAGGGCUUCACGCAUGCUACAAUGGCUGGUACAGAGAGUGGCGAGCCUGUGAGGGUGAGCGAAUCUCGGAAAGCCGGUCUCAGUUCGGAUUGGGGUCUGCAACUCGACCUCAUGAAGUCGGAGUCGCUAGUAGUCGCAGAUCAGCAACGCUGCGGUGAAUACGUUCCCGGGGCU
rnacentral:rRNA from 1 species